CAUGGAAAGUAAAGGAAUGCAUUAACAUCUUGUAUUUGGAAUGAAAGGUAUAACUGUAAUCACUGAAGUGAUGUAAUACCAUGAUCCCAGUGAGCUGUAUUUCAGACCAGUAUGAUCUCAACUAUACAGCUACUCAUCAACAAACUUUUAAUAUGCCCGUUUCAUGGAUUCUGUCCUUGAAGACUCCACAGUUUACCAGGAGAAAGAGGUCAUGCAGACAAGAGAUUAUAGGUAACUAAAGGCAAAACAGAAGCAGGGAGCACGUGACCCACAUUGAACAUGCAGCAGAAGCAGAAUAGAACCCCUGCUUAUGGAAAGUGGUUUGGACCUAAGAUAGACAGGACAUAAACCAAAAGCUAUUCCUCUGUGGAUUCAAGAUAAAAUCCCAUUGAGAGUCAGCGCUGAGCAUGCAGAUAGAAGCUGAAUGUGAGAGAGAUGAUCCAGUUUUCAUCAUAGGAAGCAGGGCUAGACUGUGAAAAGAUAUCAUUUACAGAGCCUGGCUAUUUGACAUGAUGGAAAAUCACUGCUAUUUGGCCUCAUACAAAAUGGAGUUUCCCAUGAGACAAGGUCUACUUCAGACUGUUGAAUAGCUGAACUUACAAGUAUGUCCACCCCAUACCUGGCUAGAUUUCCUUUUGACUGAAAACAGGUGUCUGUUUUACUUUGCUGGAAAAGUUUCCAGAAAGCAUUUUAUAAGAAACACUUUAAGAAGAGUCUAGAAGAUACAUAAUUCACAGUAGCCAAAGAGAGGAAGCAGCACAAGUGGCCAGCUACUGAUGAACAGAUAAAGCCCAAGUGGGAAAUUGAUAGAACAUAACACUUCAUGAUUGUAUUGAAAUUCUUUAUGCAUGAACCUUAAAGACGUGCGAAGUGAAAUGAUGGUUACAGAGGACGAAUGUUGUAUUAUUAAGCCUAUGUGAAGUGCCCAGAAGAGCCGUGUUCACAGAGAUAUAACGUGGAAUGCUGGUUUCCAGGGGGAGGAGAGAUGGGGAAAGAGAAGUUAUUGUCUAGUGGGCACAUAGUUUCUGUUUGAGAGGAUGAAAGUGUUCUGGAGAUGGAUGAAGGCACUGGUUGCAUAGCAAAGUGACUGGAUUUAAAGCCACAAAAAUAUACAUUUAAAACUGGUUAAAUGGCAAGUUAUAUGUUACAUAUAUUUUACCAUAAUUUAGAAAAAUGAAAGAACAAAAUUUAAACUUAUUUUAAUUGUAUCUUCACGUUUGUCCUGUGGUGAUAUAUUGUGUACCCUAAUAAAAUUUGCCUGAAGAUCAGAGAACAGAACAAGCCACUAGAUUAAACCUAGAGGCCAGGUAGUGGUGGCCCACACCUUAAUCCCAGUACUGGGAAAGCACACGUGCCUUAAAUCCCAGGAGGUGAUGGCUGGGUGGAGAAAGGUGUAUAAGGCGUGAGGAGACAGGAACUAAAGCCUUUUUGACUGAGGACGCUCAUUUGGCCAGAGGCCUAUUGGCUGAGGGUUUUUCAGGCCGAGGAGCUGGUGAGGUAAGAGGUGGUGGCUGUGGCUUGUUCCUUUGUCUCUCUAAUCUUUCAGCAUUUAUCCCAACAUUCUGGCUCUGGGUUUUCUUUUUUAUUAAAAGACUGUUUUAAGAUUUGUGUUACAUUGGCCCUUUUCUUAAUUUCAGACAGAAUAAGUUGUGUUUUCCCAAAUCCUAUGUUUCUACUCCGUUAACGUUGACUAAAAUGUGCCUGGAAGAUUUUUGCUUGUGUAAACUCACGUUUUUAAUGGCAGCCAUUGACUUUAGGGUACAUCAUUGUGCCUUUGAAUUCAGAAAGAACAGAGUUAAACUUUGGAUUUAUUUUAUAGUUUCAAAUGUUAAAUGUAAAUUAAGAAAAAUGGUAUUCCAUCUUCAAAAAUUUCCUUUUGGAAACU